rnacentral:rRNA from 1 species
CCUACGGGUGGCAGCAGUGGGGAAUAUUGGGCAAUGGGCGCAAGCCUGACCCAGCAACGUCGCGUGAAGGAAGAAGUAUCUCGGUAUGUAAAGCUCUUUCAGCAGGGAAGUAGAUGACGGUACCUGUUUAAGUAUCCCCGGACAAUUACGUGCCAGCAGCCGCGGUAAUACGUAGGGGGCAAGCGUUAUCCGGAUUUACUGGGCGUAAAGGGAGCGCAGACGGCAGUGCAAGUCAGGAGUGAAAGCCCGGGGCCCAACCCCGAAACUGCUGUGGAAACUGUGCGGCUAGAGUACUGGAGGGGCAGGCGGAAUGCGUGGUGUAGCGGUGAAAUGCGUAGAUAUUAGGAAGAACGCCAGUGGCGAAGGCGGCCUGCUGGACAAUAACUGACGUUGAGGCUCGAAAGCGUGGGGAGCAAACAGGAUUAGAUACCCCAGUAGUC